GCUGCGCAUGCUCAAGGAAGCUGAUGUGAUGUACAAUUUGUUGAGCGGUGCCAUAGGCCUAAGUAAGCUAAGUAGGCAGCAAUGCCAUCCUUAAACACAGAACUCUGUAAAAGAGAUCAUCUACAGAAUCAAACGGAGCCUACUUAGACGUACAAGAUAACCUGCUCUGAGGUUUCCGAAGUCUGAACCAGGAUGCACAAGAUUCAUAUUCAUAUUAACACGAAAAAAUAGAUAGCAGGGCUGACUUGUUUGACUAGAAAGGCUUUUAUGUGCCAAUAAAAAGCUGGUUUGUCAACA